rnacentral:rRNA from 1 species
AUUGAGAGUUUGAUCCUGGCUCAGGACGAACGCUGGCGGCGUGCUUAACACAUGCAAGUCGAGCGAUGAAGCUCCUUCGGGAGUGGAUUAGCGGCGGACGGGUGAGUAACACGUGGGUAACCUGCCUCAUAGAGGGGAAUAGCCUUCCGAAAGGAAGAUUAAUAC